GUUUUUAUAGUUUAAUUAAAACAUUGGUCUUGUAAACCAAAUAUAAGAUAAAUUCUUUAAAAACU
rnacentral:tRNA from 1 species